rnacentral:rRNA from 1 species
CGUGUAGGCGGGUUUCCAAGUCAGAUGUGAAAUCCCUGGGCUCAACCCAGGAACUGCAUUUGAAACUGGGAGUCUUGAGUAUCGGAGAGGAAAGCGGAAUUCCUGGUGUAGAGGUGAAAUUCGUAGAUAUCAGGAGGAACACCGGUGGCGAAGGCGGCUUUCUGGACGAUAACUGACGCUGAGACGCGAAAGCGUGGGGAGCAAACAGGAUUAGAUACCCUGGUAGUCCACGCCGUAAACGAUGAACACUAGGUGUCGUGGGUAUUGACCCCCGCGGUGCCGUAGCUAACGCAUUAAGUGUUCCGCCUGGGAAGUACGGUCGCAAGACUAAA